rnacentral:rRNA from 1 species
CUGGAGGUAUCAGAAGUGCGAAUGCUGACAUAAGUAACGAUAAAGCGGGUGAAAAGCCCGCUCGCCGGAAGACCAAGGGUUCCUGUCCAACGUUAAUCGGGGCAGGGUGAGUCGACCCCUAAGGCGAGGCCGAAAGGCGUAGUCGAUGGGAAACAGGUUAAUAUUCCUGUACUUGGUGUUACUGCGAAGGGGGGACGGAGAAGGCUAUGUUGGCCGGGCGACGGUUGUCCCGGUUUAAGCGUGUAGGCUGGUUUUCCAGGCAAAUCCGGAAAAUCAAGGCUGAGGCGUGAUGACGAGGCACUACGGUGCUGAAGCAACAAAUGCCCUGCUUCCAGGAAAAGCCUCUAAGCAUCAGGUAACAUCAAAUCGUACCCCAAACCGACACAGGUGGUCAGGUAGAGAAUACCAAGGCGCUUGAGAGAACUCGGGUGAAGGAACUAGGCAAAAUGGUGCCGUAACUUCGGGAGAAGGCACGCUGAUAUGUAGGUGAAGUCCCUCGCGGAUGGAGCUGAAAUCAGUCGAAGAUACCAGCUGGCUGCAACUGUUUAUUAAAAACACAGCACUGUGCAAACACGAAAGUGGACGUAUACGGUGUGACGCCUGCCCGGUGCCGGAAGGUUAAUUGAUGGGGUUAGCGCAAGCGAAGCUCUUGAUCGAAGCCCCGGUAAACGGCGGCCGUAACUAUAACGGUCCUAAGGUAGCGAAAUUCCUUGUCGGGUAAGUUCCGACCUGCACGAAUGGCGUAAUGAUGGCCAGGCUGUCUCCACCCGAGACUCAGUGAAAUUGAACUCGCUGUGAAGAUGCAGUGUACCCGCGGCAAGACGGAAAGACCCCGUGAACCUUUACUAUAGCUUGACACUGAACAUUGAGCCUUGAUGUGUAGGAUAGGUGGGAGGCUUAGAAGUGUGGACGCCAGUCUGCAUGGAGCCGACCUUGAAAUACCACCCUUUAAUGUUUGAUGUUCUAACGUUGACCCGUAAUCCGGGUUGCGGACAGUGUCUGGUGGGUAGUUUGACUGGGGCGGUCUCCUCCUAAAGAGUAACGGAGGAGCACGAAGGUUGGCUAAUCCUGGUCGGACAUCAGGAGGUUAGUGCAAUGGCAUAAGCCAGCUUGACUGCGAGCGUGACGGCGCGAGCAGGUGCGAAAGCAGGUCAUAGUGAUCCGGUGGUUCUGAAUGGAAGGGCCAUCGCUCAACGGAUAAAAGGUACUCCGGGGAUAACAGGCUGAUACCGCCCAAGAGUUCAUAUCGACGGCGGUGUUUGGCACCUCGAUGUCGGCUCAUCACAUCCUGGGGCUGAAGUAGGUCCCAAGGGUAUGGCUGUUCGCCAUUUAAAGUGGUACGCGAGCUGGGUUUAGAACGUCGUGAGACAGUUCGGUCCCUAUCUGCCGUGGGCGCUGGAGAACUGAGGGGGGCUGCUCCUAGUACGAGAGGACCGGAGUGGACGCAUCACUGGUGUUCGGGUUGUCAUGCCAAUGGCACUGCCCGGUAGCUAAAUGCGGAAGAGAUAAGUGCUGAAAGCAUCUAAGCACGAAACUUGCCCCGAGAUGAGUUCUCCCUGACUCCUUGAGAGUC